rnacentral:lncRNA from 1 species
AUUUUAGUCUUCUGCUUGAGGAUUUGACUGUGAAGCUAUGCCUAGUGAAAAACAUAUUCUUGCAGCAGCUCUGGUGGCAGUUAUCCUUGAGGAACCUUCAGUGUGUGGUGGGAAGCUAUCAGAACAAGAAAUGAUUUUGAUGUAGAUUCCCAAAUCCGUGCUGAGAUGCACAGAAAAACAGCUUUCAAAAUUCAACAAGUGGAAAAGGAAUUAGCUUGGGAAAAAGAGAAACAUGAACUCGGCCUAAUGAAGCUAAAGAAUCG